AGGGGGGAUAACGAAUCCGGAAACGGGUGCGUAAUACCGCAUAGUUUUCUGAUCGCAUGAUCGGGAAAGGAAAGACGGGCCUUUGUGCUGUCGCUUAUGGAUGGACCCGCGGCGUAUUAGUUAGUUGGUGAGGUAACGGCUCACCAAGGACGAUGAUACGUAGCCGACCUGAGAGGGUGAUCGGCCACAUUGGGACUGAGACACGGCCCAAACUCCUACGGGAGGCAGCAGUAGGGAAUCUUCCGCAAUGGACGGAAAGUCUGACGGAGGCAACGCCGCGUGAGUGAAGAAGGUUUUUUCCGGGAUCGUAAAACUCUGUUGUCAGAGAAGAACAAGUUUGGAGAGUAACUGCUCCAGCCCUUGACGGUAUCUGACCAGAAAGCCACGGCUAACUACGUGCCAGCAGCCGC
rnacentral:rRNA from 1 species